CCUACGGGUGGCUGCAGUAGGGACUAUUGCUCAAUGGGCGAAACCCUGAAGCAGCAACGCCGCGUGGAGGAUGAAGGUUUUCGGAUUGUAAACUCCUUUUGUUAGAGAAGAUAAUGACGGUAUCUAACGAAUAAGCACCGUCUAACUCCGUGCCAGCAGCCGCGGUAAUACGGAGGGUGCAAGCGUUACUCGGAAGCACUGGGCGUAAAGAGCGCGUAGGCGGGAUAGCAAGUCAGAUGUGAAAUCCUAGGGCUUAACCAUAGAACUGCAUUUGAAACUGUUAUUCUAGAGUAGGGGAGAGGUAGGUGGAAUGCGUGGUGUAGGGGUGAAAUCCGUAGAGAUCAAGAGGAAUACUGAUUGCGAAGGCGACCUGCUAGAACAUAACUGACGCUGAUGCGCGAAAGCGUGGGUAGCGAACAGGAUUAGAUACCCGGGUAGUC
rnacentral:rRNA from 1 species